rnacentral:lncRNA from 1 species
UUUAGUUAGAAAAUUGUGGCAAUGAAACCUCUACUCCUAUUUGCCAGGGUUAUGUCAAAAGGGAAAGGAGAUUCACUCUUCACACUCAGCAAAUUUGUUCUGUCUUUUACCCACUUCUGCUGUAAAGUAACCUGUUCUGAACUCUGUGACUUCUCUGAAGCACGUUUUCAAAUAUGGAGGCUUCUGACUUCCUUAGAUUUAAGUGUUGAAAGUGAAAGAGAAGGCAGAAGCCAUGGUUUAGUACCUGACACAGGCAAUUCAUCACCUGCAAAGGAUAUCUGAAGACAAUUUUUAUGAAACCACAGCAGAUGCUUUUGAUACCCGCAAGUGACAUCUGUGGAUGUGCCUCAAACGUGAACUGCAGCAGUGGCGAAAAUUUCCUGCUGGUUGAUGGCAUUCUACCUGGAAUAUUCAUUACACAUGUCUCUAAUUUUCUGCCUCAGGUUCUUCUCAGAAGUUGGGCCUGAAGGAGUCUGCUCAGCUUACGUGCAGUCACAGUCUGAGAGUUUGGAGAGCCAAUUUCUCUGAAGUAUUCUAUGUUUCUGAGCUGUCUGGGUCUAAAGAACUCAUUCUUACAAUAUACCUUCUUCCAGACCUGUCUCACUAUCCCUGUUUGUGCAUUUUUCCCCCCUGGGAGCCUUUGCACCCAAACCACCUGCAUGUUUCAAGGUUGACUUUUGGGUGAACUCAAAUUAAUUUGGAAAUUCUAUAAAAACCUGUUAUAUAAUACUGUUUACUUAUUUAUUCACUAAAUACAUACUGAACACUUAAUAUGUGUCACACCUUGUGAUAAAUCCUGGAAAUAGAGUCCAAUAGGGAAAAGAAAAGAAAGAAAGUGAAGUUGCUCAGUCGUGUCUAACUCUGCGACCUCAUGGACUGUAGCCUACCAGGCUCCUCCGUCCAUGGGAUUUUCCAGGGAAGAAUCCUGGAGUGGGUUGCCAUUUCCUUCUCCAGGAGAUCUUCCCUACUCAGCGAUUGAACUCUGAUCUCCUGCAUUUUAGCCAGACACUUUACCAUCUGAGCCACCAGGGAAGUCCAAAGGAAAACGUAAAACCAAAUAAGUGAAAUAAGACUUUAGGGAUGUGACAGACCCUACAAGGUGCAAUGGAGGCAGGUAGGAGGCAAUACUUUUUUUCUAUGAGGUAUCAGAGAGAGUUUGGUGUCACACAGAUUAUAUAAUAGGAAUUGAGACUUGCAUUAAUGUAAUUUUUCUAGGUGUGGAGUAGGAAAAGAGAAGAGAAUAGAGUCAGAGAAAAGUCAGAAUAUAAAAUACUCUUACAUGCUUGUUCCAAGAACUUCAAGGACUUUUCUAAGAAUAACUGUUGUUUAGUGGCCAAGUUGUGUCUGAUUCUUUGCCUGCCAGGCUCCUCUGUGCAUGGGAUUCCCCAGGCAAGAAUACUGUAGUGGGCUGCCAUUUCCUUCUCGAGGGGAAUUUCAACCCAGGGAUCGAAUCCACCUCUUCUCUGUCUCUUGCAUUGGCAGGCAGAUUCUUUACCAGUGAGCCACCUGGGAAGCCCCUAAAAUAAUGAGGGGAAACAAAAGGUGAUUGAGAGAUAAAUCAUCAGAUGUGUUGUAUCUAAGUUAACAAUGAGAAUUCAGGGACUUCCCCCAUAUUCCAGUGGCUAAGACUCUGCAAUCCCAGUGCAGGGGGCCUGUAUUCGAUACCUGGUCAGGGAACUAGAUCCCACGCACCACAGCUAAAAAGAUCCUGCAUGCUAUAACAAAGAUUCUGUGUGCCGCAAAUAAGACCCAACAUGGCCAAAUAAAUAUUUUAAAAAAUAUGAAUUCA